UGCGCAGGUGGCCAAGUGUGUGAGGCGUGAAAGCCCGGAGCUCAACUCCGGAAUUGCACCUCAAACUACAUGGCUAGAGCAUUGGAGAGGGGAGCAGAAUUCACGGUGUAGCAGUGAAAUGCGUAGAUAUCGUGAGGAAUACCAGAGGCGAAGGCGGCUCCCUGGACAAUUGCUGACACUCAGGCACGAAAGCGUGGGGAGCAAAAGGGAUUAGAUACCCCUGUAGUCCACGCCCUAAACGGUGCACACUAGGUCUUGGCGGAUUCGACCCCCCCAGGGCCCAAGCUAACGCGUUAAGUGUGCCGCCUGAGGACUACGGCCGCAAGGCUAAA
rnacentral:rRNA from 1 species